rnacentral:rRNA from 1 species
AGAGUUUGAUCAUGGCUCAGAUUGAACGCUGGCGGCAGGCCUAACACAUGCAAGUCGAACGGUAACAGGAAGAAGCUUGCUUCUUUGCUGACGAGUGGCGGACGGGUGAGUAAUGUCUGGGAAACUGCCUGAUGGAGGGGGAUAACUACUGGAAACGGUAGCUAAUACCGCAUAACGUCGCAAGACCAAAGAGGGGGACCUUCGGGCCUCUUGCCAUCGGAUGUGCCCAGAUGGGAUUAGCUAGUAGGUGGGGUAACGGCUCACCUAGGCGACGAUCCCUAGCUGGUCUGAGAGGAUGACCAGCCACACUGGAACUGAGACACGGUCCAGACUCCUACGGGAGGCAGCAGUGGGGAAUAUUGCACAAUGGGCGCAAGCCUGAUGCAGCCAUGCCGCGUGUAUGAAGAAGGCCUUCGGGUUGUAAAGUACUUUCAGCGGGGAGGAAGGGAGUAAAGUUAAUACCUUUGCUCAUUGACGUUACCCGCAGAAGAAGCACCGGCUAACUCCGUGCCAGCAGCCGCGGUAAUACGGAGGGUGCAAGCGUUAAUCGGAAUUACUGGGCGUAAAGCGCACGCAGGCGGUUUGUUAAGUCAGAUGUGAAAUCCCCUGGCUCAACCUGGGAACUGCAUCUGAUACUGGCAAGCUUGAGUCUCGUAGAGGGGGGUAGAAUUCCAGGUGUAGCGGUGAAAUGCGUAGAGAUCUGGAGGAAUACCGGUGGCGAAGGCGGCCCCCUGGACGAAGACUGACGCUCAGGUGCGAAAGCGUGGGGAGCAAACAGGAUUAGAUACCCUGGUAGUCCACGCCGUAAACGAUGUCGACUUGGAGGUUGUGCCCUUGAGGCGUGGCUUCCGGAGCUAACGCGUUAAGUCGACCGCCUGGGGAGUACGGCCGCAAGGUUAAAACUCAAAUGAAUUGACGGGGGCCCGCACAAGCGGUGGAGCAUGUGGUUUAAUUCGAUGCAACGCGAAGAACCUUACCUGGUCUUGACAUCCACAGAACUUUCCAGAGAUGGAUUGGUGCCUUCGGGAACUGUGAGACAGGUGCUGCAUGGCUGUCGUCAGCUCGUGUUGUGAAAUGUUGGGUUAAGUCCCGCAACGAGCGCAACCCUUAUCUUUUGUUGCCAGCGGUCCGGCCGGGAACUCAAAGGAGACUGCCAGUGAUAAACUGGAGGAAGGUGGGGAUGACGUCAACUCAUCAUGGCCCUUACGACCAGGGCUACACACGUGCUACAAUGGCGCAUACAAAGAGAAGCGACCUCGCGAGAGCAAGCGGACCUCAUAAAGUGCGUCGUAGUCCGGAUUGGAGUCUGCAACUCGACUCCAUGAAGUCGGAAUCGCUAGUAAUCGUGGAUCAGAAUGCCACGGUGAAUACGUUCCCGGGCCUUGUACACACCGCCCGUCACACCAUGGGAGUGGGUUGCAAAAGAAGUAGGUAGCUUAACCUUCGGGAGGGCGCUUACCACUUUGUGAUUCAUGACUGGGGUGAAGUCGUAACAAGGUAACCGUAGGGGAACCUGCGGUUG